UACGAGGGGGGCGAGCGUUGUUCGGAAUUAUUGGGCGUAAAGGGCGCGUAGGCGGUCGGAUAAGUCUUGUGUGAAAUCUUCGGGCUCAACUCGAAGUCUGCACAGGAAACUAUCUGGCUUGAGUGUGGGAGAGGUGAGUGGAAUUCCUGGUGUAGCGGUGAAAUGCGUAGAUAUCAGGAGGAACACCGGUGGUGUAGACGGCUACCUGGACAAAUACUGACGCUGAGGCGCGAGAGCGUGGGGAGCAAACAGG
rnacentral:rRNA from 1 species